CUGGUGGUUCAGUUGGAAGAGCAUGUAUGGAGAGACUCCAACGUGCAGUGAGAAGCUGUUGCAUGCAAAGAUCUGAAGCUAACGGGAUGCACAAGUUAUCUAGGAAGUUGUUAUACAUGCAUGUGUUAGUGGCAUAAGAUGUUGGUGCCGCGGCCUUCUCCCUCCUCACCGUAGCGCUCUCUCUCUCUCGCUCGCCCAAAAGUAGAAGAAAGAAGGAGGAAGAAUGAGGAGCACACAGCACUGUACAUCCCAGCGCACGAACGCCGCCCGGCCGCACGUACGGCCGCUUCUAUUACUCAAG
rnacentral:lncRNA from 1 species